AUUGAAUGCUGGCGGCAUGCCUUACACAUGCAAGUCGAACGGUAACGGGCCUUCGGGUGCCGACGAGUGGCGAACGGGUGAGUAAUACAUCGGAACGUGCCCGAUCGUGGGGGAUAACGAGGCGAAAGCUUUGCUAAUACCGCAUACGAUCUACGGAUGACAGCAGGGGACCGCAAGGCCUUGCGCGGACGGAGCGGCCGAUGGCAGAUUAGGUAGUUGGUGGGAUAAAAGCUUACCAAGCCGACGAUCUGUAGCUGGUCUGAGAGGAUGAUCAGCCACACUGGGACUGAGACACGGCCCAGACUCCUACGGGAGGCAGCAGUGGGGAAUUUUGGACAAUGGGCGCAAGCCUGAUCCAGCCAUGCCGCGUGCAGGAUGAAGGCCUUCGGGUUGUAAACUGCUUUUGUACGGAACGAAAAGCCUCCUUUUAAUACAGGAGGGUCAUGACGGUACCGUAAGAAUAAGCACCGGCUAACUACGUG
rnacentral:rRNA from 1 species